GAUGAACGCUGGCGGCGUGCCUAAUACAUGCAAGUUGAGCGGGAGGUUUACCUCCAGCAGCGAACGGGUGAGUAACACGUAUCUAACCUGCCCUUAAGUCUGGAAUAACGCUGGGAAACCGACGCUAAUGCCGGAUAGGUAAUUGAAUCUUAUGAAUUAAUUAUUAAAGAAGCGUUUGCUUCGCUAAAGGAUGGGGAUGCGCAGCAUUAGAUAGUUGGUGGGGUAAUUGCCCACCAAGUCAACGAUGCUUAGCCGACCUGAGAGGGUGAUCGGCCACACUGGAACUGAGACACGGUCCAGACUCCUACGGGGGCAGCAGUAGGAAUAUUGCGCAAUGGGGGAAACCCUGACGCAGCAACGCCGCGUGAGUGAGGAAGGCUUUCGGGUUGUAAAGCUCUGUCCUAAGGGAAAACGUUAUUAGGGUGAAUAACCCUAGUAGUUGAUGGUACCUUAGAAGAAAGCACCGGCUAACUUCGUGCCAGCCGCCGCGGUAAUU
rnacentral:rRNA from 1 species